UAGGGAAUCUUCGGCAAUGGACGAAAGUCUGACCGAGCAACGCCGCGUGAGUGAAGAAGGUUUUCGGAUCGUAAAACUCUGUUGUUAGAGAAGAACAAGGGUGAGAGUAACUGUUCACCCCUUGACGGUAUCUAACCAGAAAGCCACGGCUAACCACGUGCAG
rnacentral:rRNA from 1 species